CAUCUUAUUGCAUUGAUUGUGCGUUCUCGAUUUUACAGAGAGUACUUGUGAUUUCACGUAUUUUUGCUGAACUCGUAAAAGAGACAUUUGGAUGGUGGAUUAACCAGAACACUAACAUUCUGUGAAAAGUUUCAAAUUGGAGAAUAUUGAAUUUUCACCCUAGUCCAGCAGCUCCGCUGCUCACUUAAAUACAGAUGAAUGAAGACCCCAUUCGGAAAGACACCUGGCCAGCGGUCCAGAGCUGAUGCAGGCCAUGCUGGAGUAUCUGCCAACAUGAUGAAGAAGAGGACAUCCCACAAAAAACAUCGGAGCAGUGUGGGUCCGAGCAAACCUGUUUCCCAGCCCCGGCGGAACAUCGUAGGCUGCAGGAUUCAGCAUGGGUGGAAAGAGGGGAAUGGCCCUGUUACCCAGUGGAAAGGAACCGUUCUGGACCAGGUGCCUGUAAAUCCUUCUUUGUAUCUUAUAAAAUACGAUGGAUUUGACUGUGUUUAUGGACUAGAACUUAAUAAAGAUGAAAGAGUUUCUGCGCUUGAAGUCCUCCCUGAUAGAGUUGCAACAUCUCGAAUCAGCGAUGCACACUUGGCAGACACAAUGAUUGGCAAAGCAGUGGAACAUAUGUUUGAGACAGAGGAUGGUUCUAAAGAUGAGUGGAGGGGAAU
rnacentral:sRNA from 1 species